CCACAAAGAAAAUGAAGGACCUGCAUAAUUCUCCUCCCCCAAAUGAGUAAUCUGGGUGUUUGGCCUUCGUCAGAUGGGAGGACGGUUAUACCGGCAAAAUCUUUACUGGAGCAGACAUUUUGUCAAGAGAUGAAGCUCCUGUGCAGAUCUUAGAUCUUAGAACAGGAGAUUCUGUUUUAGCAAAGUGGUCAGAUGGUAAAUUUUAUAGGGCAACUGUUGAAUAUAUUUCAGGAAAAGUGACGGGGGACUUGUAACAGGCAGCAACACUGUUGGACCACCACCACCACCCUAUGGGAGAGAUGCAGGCAACCCAUCUGUCGAGGACACUAUCUCAUAUCGACCGCAGGCAGAAAAAUCAUGGACGCCAUGUGAUGGGUGUUGGGAGGAGUUCGAAAAAAUCCUGCGAGAAAAGCAACAAAUCGAAGAAGUCCUCUUGAAAAUAGGCAAGUAAUUAAUGCUAAUUUAUUCAUGAUGUAAUUAUUUUGUUUACGUAAAUUUGUUAUUUGGCCUUGAACACAUUAUUUUCUCAUUCGGGUAUUGUUU